rnacentral:lncRNA from 1 species
GCCCAGCCUAGAUGCGGGUUCAUCUACAACAUGAGGGUUCUGGGGGACUGAGGCAGACGAGCUCCUGGAACCACUAGAGGCGGAGGUGCCAGAAGACAUUUCAAGCAAGAACCCUAAAAAUCCCGAAGAGAUCAGGCGAAAUAAGAGCCGAAAGGUUCGUGGGGGACCUAACAAGAAGAAUGCAGCAGAAGAAAAAUGGAGGAGAAGGGGCACCU